UUCACCUCUCUCACCCCUCGUUUCUCCUCACGCAUAGCAUAGGGUUCCUCUCGAGAGAGGUGCGCCGCCGCCGCCGGAUUCCUCCUCCCCGGCGAAAAGUCCUUCCCCUACCUUAUUCCUUCAUGGUGAGCGAUCUCCAGCCCCCUACCUCCCGCAUCUUCGCCGCCAGCCUCCUCCCACGCGCGCUAGGGUAGCUUGCGGCCUACCAUCUCUGCGGCGCCGCCUGCGACUUCACCAGCAUGUAGAUGCGGGGAGCUGGACAUGGAGGAUUGCCUCUGCCAGGCUGAGGGGUCGACCUGGAAGCCGCCUUGAACGCCCACGACGGAUCUGGCCAUCAGCGAGUAGGCCGAGCCUCCUGCUCCGGCCACGGCCAUCCUGACGUCGGAUCUGGUGCUCGUGCUAUGUCUGUCUCCUCGUGCAACCCCUUCCCCAUGUUUAUUUUGCCUCCGUCCUACCCCGCUCUGCAUCAACUAACUCGGCGCUACAUGAUCCUGGGGCAGCGAGGUUGAUCGGAUGGUGUUCGUCAUGUUAGGAAGAUGAGUGUGUAACUCGUGGAGUGCGAGCUGUUGCGUGUUAGUAAGUGGCCGUGACCUUGAUGGGUUGGGGCUUGCCUCCCACACUUCUCUUCCUCGUGUACAACAACCAUGGCGGCUCCUACGUGUCGAAUUGUUGAUGGAGGCUUCAUGUCGUCCUUCUCAAGGAGCUGAGGCUGGCCAUUAAGGAUCUGGGGUGAAGGUCAUGUCAUCUCUUCUCGUGGCUCUAAUGCCCACUGCUUCCACUGCUAAUAUUUUGAGCUCUUUGAUCUGAGCAAAAACCAUGGGAAGGUGAAGUUUACUUCCUUGGUUUGACUGAAUUAUCCAUUCAUCUUAUGACACAUUGAACUUUAGGAAUUAAACUUUGGAAGUUCGGUAAUGAUAUGUUUAUACCUUUUAAUUUGUUUAAAGUUCAUGUUUGUAAUGACUAAUGAGGUGGCACUCUUGAAAAGUGAGAAAUUAUGCAGUAUAUCCACUUUCUUCUAUCUAUUUUAAGUAUUAUUGUGGGUCUGCAGUAUGAAUCACUACAUGCUGGAGAAGUUCCUGGAGGCGAUCAGGAGCAGAGGCAUCAAGAUAUGCCCUGGGUGCAAUGCCUCGCAGGCUGUAGCACCUGCCUAGUUAUGCAUAUGUCGGCAAGACAAGUUUUGCCUGCUCUGCUUCAUAUCAGUCUCUUCUGAUCGCGGCCAGAGCUUGGAAGCAAUUCAACUAGGCACCAUGACGCUGGAUGGAAGUACAACUUCUUGUCGGAAGGUUCUUAUAUAUGGUCUCUAGAAACACUCGCACGCAGACUCUCUGCCCUCGUUCGCCCGCCGCCGCCCUUCGUCCCUUCGCCGCCGCCGCUCCAUGCCUUCGCCACCGCCCUCGCACAUCAAAGCCGCCGCCCUCCAUCGGAUGAUCCACUUCAAGAGACGCCGCCGACCCCGUUGAGGACCAGCCAUUGAUCACGUCCAGGAUCCGACGCUGAUUCAGGAGCCGCACACCACCGCAGAUCCAUCCCCUGAAAAAUCGGGACUCUUGACAUGGGCGAUCGAGAGGGGAUCAAAAGGAGUAACUUUCACCUGUGGCCGCAAAGGGCCUUUACACCGCCGCCGAGAGCCGCGCGCGGGUGGUGCGCUGUGAGCGGCCAAUGGCCGCCGCUUUAGUAGCCCGCCAAGAGCCGUCAUCGUGCAUUGGCUGUGUGUCGACUCGAACCGAGGAGCCGGCCAUGGCCGAGGGCCAAGGCGAGCGCGGCUGUGGGGACUGCCGAGUGAGCGAACGCGCGCGUGCCUGAGGGUGGCCGCUGCAUGCGCUGCAAUGGCGAGAGCGAAAGGACCCUGCAACUCAAGUGCAGUUACCUGACGAACUGAACACCUUAACUGAAGAAAUCUGCAGCGAGGACGAAGCGUUACUCAUAUGGGAUAUGGAUGGCCAAGAUUGAAGGCGUUAAGUGACGAUCAACGGCGCUUGUCCCCAACGGUAUCCUGUUCCUCGUCACGCCGUUGCCGUCAACAGCUGGACACCUAUAGACAGAAGCAGAGCACGUGCGAGGCACCACCGCGACUACUUAUCUCCUCCUACAAGCAAUCCCUCGGCAUCUUUCCCCAUUCUACAAGUUGUACUUCCUAGCGUAGCUCUAGAACCCUAGAUUACUCUGUAGAAAUUGGGAUUGAUCCUCGAUCUGUACGUGUACCUGCUACUUAUUCUGAAUCUUAAUCGAAUCGGGGCUAGUUCGAGUGA